rnacentral:rRNA from 1 species
CUCAGUAACACGUGGAUAACCUGCCCUUAGGACUGGCAUAACCCCGGGAAACUGGGGAUAAUUCCGGAUAGUUCAUGGUAGCUGGAAUGCUCCAUGAUCGAAAGCUAUUGCGCCUAAGGAUGGGUCUGCGGUCAAUCAGGUAGUAGUGGGUGUAAUGUACCUACUAGCCGACGACGGAUACGGGUUGUGGGAGCAAGAGCCCGGAGAUGGAUUCUGAGACAUGAAUCCAGGCCCUACGGGGCGCAGCAGGCGCGAAAACUUUACAAUGCGGGAAACCGCGAUAAGGGGACACCGAGUGCCAGCAUCUUAUGUUGGCUGUCCGCAUGUAUAAAUCACAUGUGUUAGCAAGGGCCGGGCAAGACCGGUGCCAGCCGCCGCGGUAACACCGGCGGCCCGAGUGGUGGCCACUAUUAUUGGGUCUAAAGGGUCCGUAGCCGGUUUGGUCAGUCUUCCGGGAAAUCUGACGGCUUAACCGUUAGGCUUUCGGGGGAUACUACCAGGCUUGGGACCGGGAGAGGUAAGAGGUACUAC